AUGGCGGACAAGCUCCGGGAGCUCGCUCACAGGUUCCGGGCCGCGCGGGCCGACGGCAGGCUUCGGCUCCCCUGGGAGAAGCCGAUGCCGUACCGGGUGUUCUACUCACCAAUUACAGGGGUCUGCACCACAAUAUCUGUGCAAAAAGAACCCGCAGGACCCUGCUAUCGAAACAGGCCUUCAAUCACAGGGCGCAUCAAGAAGGGUCUCCAGGCUAUUGACCAAUGGCUUGAGCUACCAGACCUGGCCCGCAAGGUGCUUAUCAAGGGCGGUAAGAUUGUGGGCACUGGAGUUACAGCAGUUGGUGUCUGCCGCAUCGGCUACUUUGAGCUCAAGCGGCUCAGGGAGCAGGAUGGCUCUGAACCUUUCAGGGAUGGGUAUGAGCAUGCAAGAGCAAGUGUCCUUUCCUACAUCCAGGGGCAGCCGUGCCAAGACCCCAGCGCCACGUUUAUCCAGAGCGUCAAGGACCUCUGCAACCCAUUCUACAGCUACAAGAAGCCCGCCGACGAGGAACCCACCAAGAGCCCUGCCAAGAAGCCUGUGGAGGGGAAGAGCACGGCCAAGAAGCCUGUGGAGGGGAAGAGCGCCAGGGAUAUAGAGGAGACGGCAGCAGCAGCAAAGACGGCAGCAGCAGCAAAGGCCAAGAGGCUCUCUGAGUUAAAGAGGCAGCAGUUGGACCGUCUCGAACAUUCCAAGAGGAAAGGUGACAAGGACAAGGACAAGGACAAGGAGAAGAGUCAGAGCAAGGGCAGUGCUGCUGGGCAGGGCCCUGAAGCGGCGCCGAAGAAGUAG
rnacentral:rRNA from 1 species